UACAGAGGGUGCAAGCGUUAAUCGGAAUUACUGGGCGUAAAGGGCGCGUAGGUGGUUAUUUAAGUCAGAUGUGAAAUCCCUGGGCUUAACCUAGGAAUUGCAUUUGAAACUAGAUGGCUAGAGUAUGGUAGAGGGAAGUGGAAUUUCCGGUGUAGCGGUGAAAUGCGUAGAUAUCGGAAGGAACACCAGUGGCGAAAGGCGACUUCCUGGACCAUUACUGCACUGAGGCGCGAAAGCGUGGGGAGCGAACAGG
rnacentral:rRNA from 1 species